GACGAACGCUGGCGGCGUACUUAACACAUGCAAGUCGAACGAAGAGCGAUGGACGCUUGCUUCUAUCAAUCUUAGUGGCGAACGGGUGAGUAACGCGUAAUCAACCUGCCCUUCAGAGGGGGACAACAGUUGGAAACGACUGCUAAUACCGCAUACGAUCUAAUCUCGGCAUCGAGGAUAGAUGAAAGGUGGCCUCUACAUGUAAGCUAUCACUGAAGGAGGGGAUUGCGUCUGAUUAGCUAGUUGGAGGGGUAACGGCCCACCAAGGCGAUGAUCAGUAGCCGGUCUGAGAGGAUGAACGGCCACAUUGGGACUGAGACACGGCCCAGACUCCUACGGGAGGCAGCAGUGGGGAAUCUUCCGCAAUGGACGAAAGUCUGACGGAGCAACGCCGCGUGAGUGAUGACGGCCUUCGGGUUGUAAAGCUCUGUUAAUCGGGACGAAAGGCCUUCUUGCGAAUAGUGAGAAGGAUUGACGGUACCGGAAUAGAAAGCCACGGCUAACUACGUG
rnacentral:rRNA from 1 species